AUAUUGGUGGUUCAGUGGUAGCAUUCUCAUCUUCCAUGUGGGAGACCCGGGUUUGAUUCCCAGCCAAUGCA
rnacentral:tRNA from 1 species